CGUAGGGGCAAAGGUCGAGUACUCGCACCGCCGCCAUUUUUUAUGCGGGCAUAUUCCAUUCGUGAUUAUACACCCGCUGUCAUCGGCACCGUUAGUUUCCAUGCUCUCUAGUGCGCCCUCGGGGGCCCUAGUGACCUUGCUCCUUCCCUUGGGCCUGGCCGGGUAGGCUUUCUCGGACGCAGGAGGUUCCGCAGGCCCAGGCCAGGCCAAGGGGAGGCAGCCGAUCCGUAGUCGGGGUUGACAGUCACCAUGGCGCUGCCUCUAACCCCGCUCCCUCCCCCGGACCCAAACGGGGCGGGACCCGAGUGGAGGGAGCCCGGGGUUGUGAGCUUCGCGGACGUGGCCGUGUACUUCUGCCGAGAGGAGUGGGGCUGCUUGCGACCCGCGCAGAGGGCCCUGUACCGGGACGUGAUGCGGGAGACCUACGGCCACCUGAGCGCGCUCGGAAUCGGAGGCAACAAGCCAGCUCUCAUCUCCUGGGUGGAGGAGGAGGCCGAACUGUGGGGCCCGGCUGCCCGGGAUCCGGAGGUGACGAAGUGCCCGACAGAAACAGACUCAGCAGAUUCCAGAAACGAGGAAGAGGAAAGACAAAGGGAAGGGACGGGAGCCCUGGAGAAGCCUGUUCCUGUGGCCACUGGGUCUCCUGGGCUGAAGGCUCCCCAAGCCCCCUUGGCCGGGCCCCCUUAUGGUUGGGAGCAGCCGUCCAAGGCACCGCACCGAGGACGCCCCUCGCUCUGUGCCCACCCCCCUGUCCCCCGAGCGGACCAGCGUCACGGCUGCUACGUGUGUGGGAAGAGCUUCGCCUGGCGCUCCACGCUGGUGGAGCACGUCUACAGCCACACGGGCGAGAAGCCCUUCCACUGCACUGACUGCGGCAAGGGUUUCGGCCACGCUUCCUCCCUGAGCAAACACCGGGCCAUCCAUCGCGGGGAGCGGCCCCACCGCUGUCCCGAGUGUGGCCGGGCCUUCACGCAGCGCUCCGCACUGACUUCGCACCUGCGCGUCCACACCGGUGAGAAGCCCUAUGGCUGCGCGGACUGUGGCCGCUGCUUCAGCCAGAGCUCUGCCCUCUACCAGCACCGGCGUGUGCACAGCGGCGAGACCCCCUUCCCCUGCCCGGACUGCGGCCGCGCCUUCGCCUACCCCUCGGAUCUACGGCGCCACGUGCGCACCCACACCGGCGAGAAGCCCUACACGUGCCCGGACUGCGGGCGCUGCUUCCGCCAGAGCUCAGAGAUGGCAGCCCACAGGCGCACCCACAGCGGCGAGAAGCCCUACCCCUGCCCGCAGUGUGGCCGCCGCUUCGGCCAGAAAUCAGCCGUGGCCAAGCACCAGUGGGUCCAUAGGCCCGGGGCCAGGGGCCACAGGGGCCGGGUCACUGGGGGUCUGUCUGUGACCCUGACCCCUGGCCGUGGAGAUCUGGAACCGCCCGUGGGCUUCCAGCUGUACCCGGAAAUAUUCCAGGAGUGUGGGUGACUGCCUUAAAAGUGACUAUCUAGACAUUACAGAAGCCCGAGAUGGGCUCAGGGGCCUGAACCUCUGCGGCUGCCUGCAGGGAGGUCCCAGAAUCUACGACAAGACCUGGCCCUGGGGUGCGGACAGUCUGAUCUUGGACCCUCAGCAGCCUCCUCUGCCAGCACCUUGCUCUCAACUACCCAGGGGUCUCGAGGGCCCCCUUUACUGAGGCAGGGCUGAGUGCUGCUGGGUUAGGGUCUCCCCAACCGAGCUGGUCUCGGCAAGUGGCGUCCAUCGUGGGGGCUCGAAUCCAGGUGAAGGGUCGCUGGAGCAACGGUUGGAACAGAAAACCAGCUGGAGGACACCCGAGUACUCUUAAAGCAAUCCCCCUGUCUGCAGAUGUGGAUCCCGACUCCUGCUAGAAGUAGCUCACCGUGACAAAGCUGCCCUUGCUUUUAUCAUUUGCAAAUCAGAGAAGGGGGACAUGUUGAGAAGAAGCCCCCAAAAUCUGGCCGUGAACUGGCCCCAAGACUGGCCAUAAACAGAAUCUCUGCAGCACUGUAACAUGUUCAUAAUGGCCCUAACACCUGUGCUGGAAGGUUGUGGGUACCGGAAUGAGGGCAAGGAACACCCGGCCUGCCCAGGACAGAAAACCACUUAAAGGCAUUCUGAAACCACAAACAAUAGCGUGAGCAAUCUGUGCCUUAAGGCCAUGUUCCUGCUGCAGUUAACUAGCCCAACCUAUUCCUUUAAUUUAGCCCUUCCCUUCGUUUCCCAUAGGGAUAUUUUUAGUUAAUUUAAUAUCUAUAGAAACAAUGCUAACGACUGGUUUGCUGUUAAUAAAUAUGUGGAUACAUCUCUGUUUGGGGCUCUCAGCUCUGAAGGCUGUGAGACCCCUGAUUUCCCACUUCUCACCUCUAUAUUUCUGUGUAUGCAUCUUUAAUUCCUCUAGCAGUGCUGGGCUAGGGUCUCCCCAACUGAGCUGGUCUGGGCAAUUUUUUAGUAGAGGCGGGAUUUCUCCAUGUUGGUCAGGCUGGUCUCAAAAUCCCGACCUCAGGUGAUCCGCCCUGAGCCUCAGCCUCCCAAAGUGCUGGGAUUACAGGUGUGAGCCACCGUGCCCAGCCAGCUCCUUGUUUCUUGGCACAGAUAUUUCCUCCAGAGGUAGGACCUCCUUUUCUCUCUGCUACCCCAGGUGUUUGAGGGUCAGCCCUAGAGGCAACUGAAGCCAGGAAGGGGCUUUCCUAGACUUCACUGUGCAUUGGGGAUAUGCUUGUCUGCAUCAACAGAAUAAGCCACAUCCAAGUGGCCAGCCAGAGUGAGAAGUAAAGGCCAUGGUCACAUGCCCAUCCCUCUUCUGUACAGGCCAUUUAAGGGUAGGAGACUGGGCACAGUCGCUCACGCCUGUAAUCCCAGCACUUUGGGAGGCCAAGGCAGGUGGAUCACCUGAGGUCAGGAGUUCAAGACCAG